AGAGUUUGAUUAUGGCUCAGGAUGAACGCUAGCUACAGGCUUAACACAUGCAAGUCGAGGGGCAGCAUGAUCGAAGCUUGCUUGAUGAUGGCGACCGGCGCACGGGUGAGUAACGCGUAUCCAACCUUCCCUAUAGUAGAGAAUAGCCCGGCGAAAGUCGGAUUAAUGCUCUAUGUUGUAUUUAGAGGACAUCUGAAGAAUACCAAAGGUUUACCGCUAUAGGAUGGGGAUGCGUCUGAUUAGGUAGUAGGCGGGGUAACGGCCCACCUAGCCGACGAUCAGUAGGGGUUCUGAGAGGAAGGUCCCCCACAUUGGAACUGAGACACGGUCCAAACUCCUACGGGAGGCAGCAGUGAGGAAUAUUGGUCAAUGGACGGAAGUCUGAACCAGCCAAGUAGCGUGCAGGAUGACGGCCCUAUGGGUUGUAAACUGCUUUUAUAUAGGGAUAAAGUCGGGGACGUGUCCCCGUUUGUAGGUACUAUAUGAAUAAGGACCGGCUAAUUCCGUGCCAGCCGCAGC
rnacentral:rRNA from 1 species